rnacentral:rRNA from 1 species
GAUGAACGCUGGCGGCGUGCCUAAUACAUGCAAGUCGAGCGAACAGACGAGGAGCUUGCUCCUCUGACGUUAGCGGCGGACGGGUGAGUAACACGUGGAUAACCUACCUAUAAGACGGGGAUAACUUCGGGAAACCGGAGCUAAUACCGGAUAAUAUAUUGAACCGCAUGGUUCAAUAGUGAAAGACGGCUUUGCUGUCACUUAUAGAUGGAUCCGCGCCGCAUUAGCUAGUUGGUAAGGUAACGGCUUACCAAGGCAACGAUGCGUAGCCGACCUGAGAGGGUGAUCGGCCACACUGGAACUGAGACACGGUCCAGACUCCUACGGGAGGCAGCAGUAGGGAAUCUUCCGCAAUGGGCGAAAGCCUGACGGAGCCACGCCGCGUGAGUGAUGAAGGUCUUCGGAUCGUAAAACUCUGUUAUUAGGGAAGAACAAAUGUGUAAGUAACUAUGCACGUCUUGACGGUACCUAAUCAGAAAGCCCCGGCUAACUACGUG